AAAAAUCUCAAACAAAUGGAAAAGUAGUUCAAAUAAAUCCAAGAAAAAUCACAAGUAAACUAGACAUACAAGAGUAGGCUCAUGCAAAAUUUGGGGUCAUUUGGAGGUCAAGAAGCAUGGCAAUAAAAAUCAUGAAGUUAGACAUCAAUGGUGUGACACAAAUUGUCACACCCUAGUUCAAAAAAUCAUAUCUCACAAACCACAAAUGAUAAAUUCACAAACUUUAUACCAAAAUCACCAUGAAGGUGUCUAGUUUAAGCACAAAAAAUUUGAGAGCCAUUGGAUACAUUCUCAUCAUUUCACAAUUGAUUUGGCAAAGUGUACAAAAUUU
rnacentral:lncRNA from 1 species